UACGAAGGGGGCUAGCGUUGCUCGGAAUUACUGGGCGUAAAGCGCACGUAGGCGGCUCUUUAAGUCGGGGGUGAAAUCCUGGAGCUCAACUCCAGAACUGCCUUCGAUACUGGAGAGCUUGAGUUCGGGAGAGGUGAGUGGAACUGCGAGUGUAGAGGUGAAAUUCGUAGAUAUUCGCAAGAACACCGGUGGCGAAGGCGGCGAUCUGGGUAGAUACUGACGCUGAGGUGCGAAAGCGUGGGGAGCAAACAGG
rnacentral:rRNA from 1 species